CAUAUACUUCCUCCGUCUAAAAAUACUUGUCGGAGGAAUGGAUGUAUCUAGAUGUAUUUUAUUUCUAGAUACAUCCACUAUUAUCCACUUUUUGUCACAAGUAAUUCCGGGCGGAGGGAGUAAUAU
rfam:Hordeum vulgare subsp. vulgare, WGS project CAJW01000000 data, contig: morex_contig_274740